UCAGGAUGAACGCUGGCGGCGUGCUUAACACAUGCAAGUCGAACGGAGUUUUAAACGGGAAGUUUCGGAUGGAAGUUAAAACUAGUGGCGGACGGGUGAGUAACGCGUGGUAACCUGCCUCAUACAGGGGGAUAACAGUUAGAAAUGACUGCUAACACCGCAUAAUAUAGCGAAACCGCAUGAUUUUGCUAUCAAAUAGUUUAUAGGUAUGAGAUGGGCCCGCGUCUGAUUAGCUAGUUGGUGGGGUAAAAGCCUACCAAGGCGACGAUCAGUAGCCGGCUUGAGAGAGUGACCGGCCACAUUGGGACUGAGACACGGCCCAAACUCCUACGGGAGGCAGCAGUGGGGAAUAUUGGACAAUGGGGGGAAACCCUGAUCCAGCGACGCCCGCGUGAGUGAAGAAGUAUUUCGGUAUGUAAAGCUCUAUCAGCAGGGAAGAUAAUGACAGUACCUGACUAAGAAGCCCCGGCUAACUACGUGCCAGCAGCAGC
rnacentral:rRNA from 1 species